rnacentral:lncRNA from 1 species
UGUGCGGUGUGCGAUCUGAUGGCUGUGGGAAUGAGUGAGCAUGAUCAAAAGCCUGGGAAGUUUAUUUAGGUUGCGUUAGUACUCUUAAAUUGAAUGCAAUUGAGUUCUAAGGCCUUCAAGAGAUCUUGUGGGCAAUGGAGGCUUGGUGUGGUCAGUAGAGAGCCCAAAGUUGGUAACAAAAACUUGUGGGCAAGCAGAAACCAAGAGGCGCCAGUAGAGAGUAGAAGCAGGAGGCUUCAGGCAAACUGUCCUAGAGAGAGAGCUUUGUGAGGGAGUGCUUCUUGUUG